rfam:Gossypium arboreum cultivar AKA8401 contig_40797_3, whole genome shotgun sequence.
GACUCUCGGCAACGGAUAUCUAGGCUCUUGCAUCGAUGAAGAACGUAGCGAAAUGCGAUACUUGGUGUGAAUUGCAGAAUCCCGUGAACCAUCGAGUCUUUGAACGCAAGUUGCGCCCGAUGCCAUUAGGUUGAGGGCACGUCUGCCUGGGUGUCA